AGGGAAAGAGGGAGGUAGGAUUAACACAUGCAAGUCGAACGGCAGCACAGUAAGAGCUUGCUCUUACGGGUGGCGAGUGGCGGACGGGUGAGGAAUACAUCGGAAUCUACUUUUUCGUGGGGGAUAACGUAGGGAAACUUACGCUAAUACCGCAUACGACCUACGGGUGAAAGCAGGGGAUCUUCGGACCUUGCGCGAUUGAAUGAGCCGAUGUCGGAUUAGCUAGUUGGCGGGGUAAAGGCCCACCAAGGCGACGAUCCGUAGCUGGUCUGAGAGGAUGAUCAGCCACACUGGAACUGAGACACGGUCCAGACUCCUACGGGAGGCAGCAGUGGGGAAUAUUGGACAAUGGGCGCAAGCCUGAUCCAGCCAUACCGCGUGGGUGAAGAAGGCCUUCGGGUUGUAAAGCCCUUUUGUUGGGAAAGAAAAGCAGCAGGUUAAUACCCCGCUGUUCUGACGGUACCCAAAGAAUAAGCACCGGCUAACUUCGUG
rnacentral:rRNA from 1 species